UGGUCCAGUGGUUAGGACUCUGAGGUUCCAAUUCAGGGGGCUUGGGUUCCAUUCCCAG
rnacentral:tRNA from 1 species